UACGAAGGGGGCUAGCGUUGCUCGGAAUCACUGGGCGUAAAGCGCACGUAGGCGGAUUGCUAAGUCAGGGGUGAAAUCCUGGAGCUCAACUCCAGAACUGCCUUUGAUACUGGCGAUCUUGAGUACGGGAGAGGUGAGUGGAACUGCGAGUGUAGAGGUGAAAUUCGUAGAUAUUCGCAAGAACACCAGUGGCGAAGGCGGCUCACUGGCCCGUAACUGACGCUGAGGCACGAAAGCGUGGGGAGCAAACAGG
rnacentral:rRNA from 1 species